rnacentral:rRNA from 1 species
AUGUGUAUCCCAAAGAAACAAGGAGGUAUGAGUUUCAAAGAUUUGGAGAGUGUCAAUCUGGCAAUCUUGUCAAAACAAUGUUGGAGGUUGCUUUGUGCGCCAACUUCUUUAUGCCCAAUUCUUCGUGCUAAGUGUUUUCCCUCGGGUGUUCUAUUAAAUUGUGAACUGAAAAAGGGAAGCUCCUAUACUUGGCAAAGCAUUUGGGCACGAAUUCGAACUUUUAAUAGAUGA